rnacentral:ncRNA from 1 species
CUCAGACAGGAUUGACAGAUUGAUAGCUCUUUCUCAAUUUCGUGGGUGGUGGUGCAUGGCCGUUCUUAGUUGGUGGAUCGAUUUGUCUGGUUAAUUCCGAUAACAAACAAGACUCUGGCAUGCUAACUAGUUACAUGACCCCCCAGCGGUCGGUGUCCCCUUACACUCAUUAACUAUGUUUUGCCUCUGGACUUUUUUUUUUUUUUUUUUUUUUUUUUUUUUUUUUGGUUUUUCGAGACAGGGUUUCUCUAUGUAGCUUUGGAGCCUAUCCUGGCACUCGCUCUGGAGACCAGGCUGGCCUCAAA